AACACUACAUAACACACUAAUCCAACGCGAUGCUCCACCUCCACCUUUGAAAAACAGAAACAAAACCUUACUACUAAUCCAACGCAGAAAACCCUACAUUGUUUAAUACAAAACUCCACCUCCAUAAAAUAUGACUCAACGUACAUAAUAGCUAGGCUUCUCCUUCUCCUUCUUCUCCAGCGACAGUUUCAGCAGUUCAUACUCUCUCUCUCUCUCUUUCUUUAGCACUCUUUCUCCGAUUGCCACAACUGAGCAAUCAAAUCAAGAUUAGGAUUUUUCUAUUUGCCAUUUUUUGAUUUCUAGGGUUUAGUUUGAUAAUCCUUAGCAUAUACGUUAUGAUAGAUCAAAAUACGUUUUGAUUGAGUGGAGUUGCUGCUUUUAUUUCACAAACAAUGCAAAGGAAAUCAGAGGACUGAGGCUGCGAUCAAAAUAAGGGUUUUUUGUUUCGAGAUGCUGCUUCUUAAGAAAGGCUUAGUCAUUGGCAGCUUGGGGGAGGUUUGAUAUUGUGGGUCUUCGAAGAUUGAAGUUCAAUAGCAAUUUUGGGCAUAUUGGGACAACCAAAGCUGCAAUGGAUGUAGAUUAUGAAUCAAUCUUAUGAGAUGAAGCGCAUCUCCUAUGUCUUCAAUGAAGAAACAAAGGUGUCGAAAAUAAAUCAAAUGGCUUUUAUCCAUAAUUGAUAAAGAUGGAGCAAAUAUGGAGGACUUUACCCUCCAUCUCCGUUACUUAAGACCUUCACAUAAGAGAUAUAACUAGAAGAACUUGCUUCAGCUACAAAAUUCCUAUCUGGUCAAACAGAAAGCAAUCCCAGAACUGCUUGCAAAGAACAGCACAAGGAAAGAGCAGUUUUCAAGGCAGGCUUGCUGGCAAGCAUCAUAUCAAAUUUCAAAGGGUGCGACAAACUCAAGUGCAAAAUAAUCAAGCUUCUCACCAACAUAUAAUAGGUCUCCUGAGCUUUUAAAGCCAUUGCAGGUUGAGAUAAUCUGAGGCUUGCAAUUAAAUUGAAAACUGAGAACAGAAGAGCAUUGGCAUUGGUUGCUUAAAUAGCACACAUAAUAUAGGUUACAAGGCUUAGGAAUGUUGUAGGAACUUUGGUGGUAUUCUUAUUGCCUCAGGAGUAACAAACUUUCCCAUUUGAGGAUGAGAUUGAGCCAUCAGACCCUAAAACAGCAGCCCAAAUGGCAUUUGGUUCAAAAUAGUUGGAGAAUGUAAUAAACUGCCAAAGUGAGGCCCCCCUUUGAUCAUAGAAAUUCCACUAAUUGACCAAUAUUUUGAGUGAUGGCAA